GUAACGGCGAGUGAAGCGGCAAAAGCUCAAAUUUGAAAUCUGGCGCAAGCCCGAGUUGUAAUUUGAAGAAGGUAAUUUUUGAAGAUAUGGAGACAAAAGUUCCUUGGAAUAGGACGUCAUAGAGGGUGAGAAUCCCGUUUUGUCUCUCUCUGUUUUCUUGUAAAAUGCUUUCGAAGAGUCGAGUUGUUUGGGAAUGCAGCUCUAAGUGGGUGGUAAAUUCCAUCUAAAGCUAAAUAUUGGCGAGAGACCGAUAGCGAACAAGUACAGUGAUGGAAAGAUGAAAAGAACUUUGAAAAGAGAGUGAAAAAGUACGUGAAAUUGUUGAAAGGGAAGGGUUUUAAGGGAGACAUGGGAGGUAAUGAACAAUUUUCCUUUGGGAAGGUGCACUCAUUGCUUUCUGGGCCAAUAUGGGUUUUGAGAGUGGGAUAAAGGGUUAGCAAUGUGGCCAUUUUAUGGUGUUAUAGGCUUUCUUAAUACCACUACUCGGGACCAAGGAACGCGAUUCUAGGAUAUUGGCGUAAUCCCUUUAAACCACCCGUCU
rnacentral:rRNA from 1 species